rnacentral:lncRNA from 1 species
CGUAACGAUGAUCGGAGACAUCCUGCUGUUCGGGACGUUGCUGAUGAAUGCCGGGGCGGUGCUGAACUUUAAGCUGUGACAACAUCCGGGAAUUCUUGCUGAGCCUCAGAUACUUUCGAAUCUUCAUCGCCCUGUGGAACAUCUUCAUGAUGUUCUGCAUGAUUGUGCUGAGAAAACUCAAGCAGAUUGCCUUUCCAUCUAGCACUGGGGCCAUAACUCUGAUACUACUGUUAACGAAUUGUGAGAUUUGCUGUAAAUGGAUUUAGGAAAAGACACGACGGGAGAAUCUGGUGUUCUUGGCCUCUGUGGGUCCAUCCCUGUAUGCUUCCCCCAGAAAGAGAGAGGACAAAAAGUUGUCUGUCCUGAGUGAUUGAGACUCCGAAUGUGGGGUUGCUGUCCAGUCUGCGUGCCACCCCAGUGGCUGUUUGCG